UACGGAGGGGGGCUAGCGUUGUUCGGAAUUACUGGGCGUAAAGGGCGCGUAGGCGGCGCGAUAAGUUGGGCGUGAAAGGCCCGGGCUCAACCCGGGGACUGCGCUUGAUACUGUCGCGCUGUGAGUCCGGGAGAGGAUGGCGGAAUUCCCAGUGUAGAGGUGAAAUUCGUAGAUAUUGGGAAGAACACCGGUGGCGAAGGCGGCCAUCUGGACCGGCACUGACGCUGAGGCGCGAAAGCG
rnacentral:rRNA from 1 species